AACGAACGCUGGCGGCAUGCCUAACACAUGCAAGUCGAACGAUUGCCUUCGGGUGAUAGUGGCGCACGGGUGCGUAACGCGUGGGAAUCUGCCCUUAGGUUCGGAAUAACAGCUGGAAACGGCUGCUAAUACCGGAUGAUAUCGCGAGAUCAAAGAUUUAUCGCCUGAGGAUGAGCCCGCGUUGGAUUAGGUAGUUGGUGGGGUAAAGGCCUACCAAGCCGACGAUCCAUAGCUGGUCUGAGAGGAUGAUCAGCCACACUGGGACUGAGACACGGCCCAGACUCCUACGGGAGGCAGCAGUGGGGAAUAUUGGACGAUGGGCGCAAGCCUGAUCCAGCAAUGCCGUGUGAGUGAUGAAGGCCCUAGGGUUGUAAAGCUCUUUUACCCGGGAAGAUAAUGACUGUACCGGGAGAAUAAGCCCCGGCUAACUCCGUG
rnacentral:rRNA from 1 species